rnacentral:rRNA from 1 species
AUUGAACGCUGGCGGCAGGCCUAAAACAUGCAAGUCGAGCGGAGCGGCGGACGGGUGAGUAAUGCCUAGGAAUCUGCCUGGUAGUGGGGGAUAACGUCCGGAAACGGGCGCUAAUACCGCAUCCUAUCAGAUGAGCCUAGGUCGGAUUAGCUAGUUGGUGGGGGAAAGGCCUACCAAGGCGACGAUCCGUAACUGGUCGGAGAGGAUGAUCAGUCACACGGGUACGGAGACACGGUCCAGAAUCCUACGCGAGGCAGCAGUGGGGAAUCUUGGACAAUGGGCGAAAGCCUGAUCCAGCCAUGCCGCGUGUGUUAAGAAGGUCUUCGGAUUGUAAAGCACUUUAAGUUGGGAGGCGUUACCAACAGAGUAAGCACCGGCUAACUUCGUGCCAGCCGCCGCGGUAAUUC